rnacentral:rRNA from 1 species
UACGGAAGGCAGCAGUGGGGAAUAUUGCACAAUGGGCGAAAGCCUGAUGCAGCUAUGCCGCGUGUAUGAAGAAGGCCUUAGGGUUGUAAAGUACUUUCAUCGGGGAGGAAAAAACAAAACUAAUAAUUUUAUUUCUUGACGUUACCCGAAAAAGAAGCACCGGCUAACUCCGUGCCAGCAGCCGCGGUAAUACGGAGGGUGCUAGCGUUAAUCAGAAUUACUGGGCGUAAAGAGCACGUAGGUGGUUUUUUUAAAGUCAGAUGUGAAAUCCCUGGGCUUAACCUGGAACUGCAUUUUGAAACUGAAAUACUAGAGUAUCGUAGAGGGAGGUAGAAUUCUAGGUGUAGCGGUGAAAUGCGUAGAUAUCUGGAGGAAUACCUGUGGCGAAAGCGGCCUCCUAAACGAAUACUGACAUUGAGGUGCGAAAGCGUGGGGAGCAAACAGGGAUUAGAUACC